ensembl:lncRNA
GCCGUUUUCUGUGUUUUCCAUUACAAAUAAUGCUAUAAGGAAUAGCCCUGUAUGUAAAUCUGUACACCUACGUGUGAGAACAUUUGUAAGAAAACGCGGAAUUGUUGCAUUAAAUUUUAAUGAAUGUUGUCAAAUUUCCUCAAAUGGCAUUUAUUUGCAUGUGUGUGUGUUCCAAUAACAUUUUAUUUAUGGAAAUUUGAAUUUCAUUUAAUUUUCACACGUCACAAAACAUUCUUUUGAUUUUUCUCCAUCAGUUAAAAUGUAAUAAUCACUCUUAGUUCAGGGGCUGUAUAAAUCAGGUGGUAAACCAGAUUUGGUCUACCAGCCAUAGUUUGCCAAGCUCUGGUUUAGUCUAACUAGUCUAGUUUAAGUUGUAAAAAAAGGGGCUAAGGUUCACCAAUGUUCCCAACUGAAAAGUUUUAUUAAAACACAUGUUUUAGACAUUUUCGAAAUGUUUUGAAAAAACAUUAAGUAAACUUAGUCCACUAAUGCAAGUCACCGAAAAUUUUUUCCUUACUGAUUAGUUUAAAAAACUUUUAUUACAAAAGUCAUCAAUGCAGAUUCUACUCUGACUUUGUAUUAAGUUCAGCCAAAUUUUGUUAUGUGAGAUCAUCCUUUAGGUUAUUUCAGCUUGUGAACCGCCAUACACUACAGCUUUCUGCCUCCACUAAACACUGUGAUGGAGGUGGGAAUGGAGGCCUUGGAGGGAAAGCAGAAGGCAUGGAUUUGGCUUCUGGUCUAUCUGAUUUUGCUUCAAGAUUCAGAGAUGUAUAGGUUUAUCACGCUCUCGCUAAACUGAAUGACUUCAACCCUUGGUGUCCCGUUUCCUUGUUUUUUCAUGUUCCUUGAAGUCUUGCCUUGCUGUCUUCACCCCUGAAGAAGCAGUCACCUCCUCCAUCAAGCGACUGGCUUCAGGAGAGAAACACACACCUUGGGUCACCCUGUGAGGGACUGAGGCGUUCUCAGACCGUUUCUGUGGCCACGUGUGCUCCACACUUCUUGUUCCUUCUUGGGAGGGAAUUCUUAAGGUUGUCUGCCUUCUCUGGAUGCUGCAGAGCCAGGCCGGUGCGGGCAGCCUCCCUUUUGCUUUCUCCAGGUCCCAUUGAAUGCUGAAGUUUGCAUACUUUCUCUCAAUCCCGCUCACUAGCCAUCUGCGAAGACUCACCAACCUUGGGUGGGGGUCGGGUGCGCACCCACAGCACCGGCCAGGGGGUGGGGGUGUGGGGAGUGAGAUGUGUGCAGCACUGGGGUGUCCGUGGGCCGUCUGGGGAGAUCCGCAGGCAAGCUGUCCCCAGCAGCUUGUGGGUGGGCUUCCUGAUGGAGUCCGCAAAGUGGCUGGUAGAAUUGUCCUUUUGAAGCCCUCCGAGUGCCCGGGCUGCCUUCUCCCAGGCCCCUCCACCCCCCCACCGGUCGUGCAGCACACCCGGCGUUCUGGAUGCGGGGAGAGAGAGAAGUGGGCAGGCUGCCCUACAGUUGGGGAAGCCAGACGCUCACGCCCACGCUCUCACCUCCCCCUUGGGGAGAAAUCGCUGGCGAAAGGGGCUCUGUUGGCUCUGGGCUGUGCGCUGGGGGAGGAGUCACAGGAAAAGUGACACUGGUCCUCUUCAUUGCGUCCAAUCUCAGGUUUUGUUUUGCUCCCACAGUGUGCUGGAAGUUCGCGGGUCUCUGGGAUUCCCACAAAGGUGCUCUUAUCCGCGGAUGAUGGUCAACAUCAGUGUUCGUUGGGGUUCAAGAUGAGUCAAGGCUCAAGUAGACUUGAAGUCCUCCAACAGACAAGCCCUAAUGGACACAGACAAGGUGCCAGCAGGAGAUGACUUUGAUCUGAACAUACCCGAGCCUGUCCUCAUCCCUCUUCUCAAACACUACCCUGUCCAUUCUCUCCCCAGGAAACCACUACCCUAACUUCUGACUUCACAAACUAUUUUUGCCUGUUUUUCAACUUAGCCAAAGAUAACCCAGAAAGAGCAACAUUCUACUCACUUUGUGGGAGGAGCCCAUGGAUUUCAGCAUCUCGGUGAUGUGGGGACUUUCCAGAUGCAGACACGUAGUGCCCAAGGCAACAACAGCAACAGUACCAUGUUGGUGGCUAGCCUCUGGUGGCCCACCUCUGGACCAACCUACCUCCACACUCAUGGCUGUGGAGUCCACCAGCCUCAAGUGAUGUGUCUAAGUGUUUGCUCUUCUAGCAAAAGGCAAAUGUGACUGGGAUGGUAGUCCAGUGUGAGCGAGCAUCCCUGGGGAUCCUUCGGCAUAUUGGGUUGCAAGUCCCAGCGUGCCUGACUCAGAAGACAUGCAAAAACAUUUGCUGAAUGAAUGAUAAGGGAAACACUCGAUUGCCUGCUAAUUUGGGCAGUUGAGGAUCCAGAGUUGUAUGUAUGCUUGCCAAUGAAAGGGAAAUAUUAUUUUUACCCCAACCUGUGAAUAUUGUUUAUAUCUCUUGUAAGUGUUCCCCAGGUAAAACUCAAAUAUUAGUUCCUUCCUUAUUUAGCCCCAAAAUAUCUAGCAUCAUCUUGGAGUAUGUGCCUCCCGACCGCCCUGGUAUACACAUAUACUCUUUGUUAACUAAGUAUAGUUUCUCCAGAGAAACAGAACCAAUAAGAUAUACGCAGAUAUAUAGAAAGAUAUUUAUUAUGAGAGAUUGGCUCGCGAGAUUAUGGAGUCUGAGAAGUCCCAUGAUCUACCAUUUGCAAGCUGGAGACUCAGGAAAGACGAUGGUGUGGAUCCAGUUCAAACUCAAGAGCACUGACGUCUGAGGGCAGGAGACCAUGGACGUCCCAGCUCACGCAGAGAGAGCAAUUGGCCCUUUCUCUGCCUUUUUGUUCUCGUCAGGCCCUCAGUGAAUGGAAUGAUGCCCACCCUGUUGGUGAGGGCCAUCUUCUACACGUCUCCCGAUUCAAAUGCUAAGCUCUUCUACGAAUACCUUUACAGACACACCCAGAUAUAAUGUUUUACCAG